rnacentral:rRNA from 1 species
GAGUCGGGCCUGCUCGGUGAAUAAGUUUUUAACAGCUGCGGUAUUUUAACUGUACUAAGGUAGCAUAAUAAUUUGCCUUAUAAUUUGAGGCUAGAAUGAAUGGUUUGACGAAGGUUAAUCUGUCUCCGCUUUAUUUUUUAGAAUUUAAUUUUUAAAGUGAAAAAGCUUAAAUUUUUUAAAGGGACGAGAAGACCCUAAUGAGCUUAUAAUUUUAUUAUUGUUGUGCAAAACAUUUGGUCAAUAAUAUAUAAAUUUUAAUUGGGGUGAUUGAGGAAUAAAUUAGAUAAAGUAACUUCCUUAAACUAAAUAUUUAUAGAUAAAGUAACCAAUAUAAUAUUGCUUAUAAUAUAGUUACCAUAGGGAUAACAGCGUAAUUUGUUUAGAGAGUUCUUAUUGAAAAACGAGAUUGCGACCUCGAUGUUGGAUUAAAGUAACCUUAAGGUGCAGAAGCUUUAGUAAGGUAAAUCUGUUCGAUUUUUAAUACUUUACGUGAUCUG